GACGUAGGGCGCGAGCGUUGUCCGGAUUUAUUGGGCGUAAAGAGCUCGUAGGCGGUUUGUCGCGUCUGCUGUGAAAACCCGAGGCUCAACCUCGGGCCUGCAGUGGGUACGGGCAAACUAGAGUGCGGUAGGGGAGAUUGGAAUUCCUGGUGUAGCGGUGGAAUGCGCAGAUAUCAGGAGGAACACCGAUGGCGAAGGCAGAUCUCUGGGCUGUAACUGACGCUGAGGAGCGAAAGCAUGGGGAGCGAACAGG
rnacentral:rRNA from 1 species